GGGUUGUGAGGUUAAGCGACUAAGCGUACACGGUGGAUGCCCUGGCAGUCAGAGGCGAUGAAGGACGUGCUAAUCUGCGAAAAGCGUCGGUAAGGUGAUAUGAACCGUUAUAACCGGCGAUGUCCGAAUGGGGAAACCCAGUGUGAUUCGUCACACUAUCGUUAACUGAAUACAUAGGUUAACGAGGCGAACCGGGGGAACUGAAACAUCUAAGUACCCCGAGGAAAAGAAAUCAACCGAGAUUCCCCCAGUAGCGGCGAGCGAACGGGGAGCAGCCCAGAGUCUGAAUCAGCUUGUGUGUUAGUGGAACGGUCUGGAAAGUCCGACGGUACAGGGUGAUAGUCCCGUACACCAAAAUGCACAGGCUGUGAACUCGAAGAGUAGGGCGGGACACGUGGUAUCCUGUCUGAAUAUGGGGGGACCAUCCUCCAAGGCUAAAUACUCCUGACUGACCGAUAGUGAACCAGUACCGUGAGGGAAAGGCGAAAA
rnacentral:rRNA from 2 species